rnacentral:rRNA from 1 species
CCUACGGGUGGCAGCAGUAGGGAAUCUUUCACAAUGGGCGAAAGCCUGAUGCAGCAACGCCGCGUGCAGGAUGAAGUCUUUCGGGUUGUAAACUGCUUUUAUCAGCGAGAAAUAUGAUGGUAACUUAUGAAUAAAGAUCGGCUAACUACGUGCCCGCAGCCGCGGUCAUACGUAGGAUCCGAGCAUUUUCCGGAGUGACAGGGGGUAAAGAGGUGCGUAGGUGGCUUAGGAAGUUGCGAGUGAAAUCGGGUGGCUCAACCAUUCAGACUAUUGGGGAAACUGUUAAGCUCGAGACCGUGAGAGGUAAGUGGAAUUUCUAGUGUAGGGGUGAAAUCCGUAGAUAUUAGAAGGAACACCAAUGGCGAAGGCAGGUUACUGGAACGGAUCUGACACUAAGGCACGAAAGCGUAGGGAGCAAACGGGAUUAGAUACCCGUGUAGUC